GGCGCGUUCGUCUAGCGGUCCAGGACGUCACGUUCUCAACGUGAAGAUCACGGGUUCAACUCCCGUACGCGCUA
rnacentral:tRNA from 1 species